rnacentral:rRNA from 1 species
GCCCAGCCAUAACACAACAAUUAAAUCACCCAUUGUUCGCCAAAUAACUACGAGUGAAAACUUAAAAUUUAAAAGACUUGACGGUAUCUCACAACAACCUAGAGGAGCCUGUCCAAUAACCGAUACCCCACGAUCAACCCAACCCACCCUAGCCCAACAGUCUAUAUACCGCCGUCGCCAGCCUACCUUGUGAAAGAAACAAAGUGAGCCCAAUAGCCACCCACUAAUACGACAGGUCGAGGUGUAACUCAUGGGUGGGCCCAAGAUGGGCUACAUUUUCUAACACAGAAAAUACGAAUAAACUAUGAAAUAAGAAACUGAAGGUGGAUUUAGCAGUAUAUAAGGAAUAAACAUACCUAAUUGAAAUUAACGCAAUGAGAUGCGUACACACCGCCCGUCAUCCCUGCCAACAAACAAAAACCAUCCAUAAAAACAAGAAAAGAACAAAACAGGGCAAGUCGUAACAUGGUAAGCGUACUGGAAAGUGCGCUUAGAAA